rnacentral:rRNA from 1 species
AGUAACGGCGAGUGAAGCGGCAACAGCUCAAAUUUGAAAUCUGGCUCUUUCAGAGUCCGAGUUGUAAUUUGCAGAGAGUGCUUUGGUGGUAGUUGCGGUCUAAGUUCUUUGGAACAGGACGUCACAGAGGGUGAGAAUCCCGUAAGUGGUCGCUACUUAUCACCGUGUAAAGCCCCUUCGACGAGUCGAGUUGUUUGGGA